rnacentral:rRNA from 1 species
AUUGAACGCUGGCGGCAUGCCUUACACAUGCAAGUCGAACGGCAGCACGGGUGCUUGCACCUGGUGGCGAGUGGCGAACGGGUGAGUAAUACAUCGGAACGUACCUUAUCGUGGGGGAUAACGCAGCGAAAGCUGUGCUAAUACCGCAUACGCCCUGAGGGGGAAAGCGGGGGAUCGCAAGACCUCGCGCGAUUAGAGCGGCCGAUGCCUGAUUAGCUAGUUGGUGGGGUAAAAGCCCACCAAGGCGACGAUCAGUAGCUGGUCUGAGAGGACGAUCAACCACACUGGGACUGAGACACGGCCCAGACUCCUACGGGAGGCAGCAGUGGGGAAUUUUGGACAAUGGGGGCAACCCUGAUCCAGCAAUGCCGCGUGAGUGAAGAAGGCCUUCGGGUUGUAAAGCUCUUUUGUCAGGGAAGAAACACCGGCUCUAACACAGUCCGGGAAUGACGGUACCUGAGGAAUAAGCACCGGCUAACUACGUGCCAGCAGCCGCAGUAA